rnacentral:misc_RNA from 1 species
GAUGAAGAACGUAGCGAAAUGCGAUAAGUAAUGUGAAUAGCAGAAUUCAGUGAAUCAUCGAAUCUUUGAACGCACAUUGCGCCCGCCAGUAUUCUGGCGGGCAUGCCUGUUCGAGCGUCAUUUCAACCAUCAAGCCCCAGGCUUGUGUUGGGGACCUGCGGCUGCCGCAGGCCCUGAAAACCAGUGGCGGGCUCGCUGUCACACCGGGCGUAGUAGAUUUUAUCUCGCUCAGGGCGUGCUGCGGGUUCCGGCCGUUAAAAAGCCUUUUUUACCCAAGGUUGACCUCGGAUCAGGUAGGAAGACCCGCUGAACUUAAGCAUAUCAAUAAGCGGAGGA